GACGAACGCUGGCGGCGUGCUUAACACAUGCAAGUCGAACGGAAAGGCCCUGCUUUUGUGGGGUGCUCGAGUGGCGAACGGGUGAGUAACACGUGAGUAACCUGCCCUUGACUUUGGGAUAACUUCAGGAAACUGGGGCUAAUACCGGAUAGGAGCUCCUGCUGCAUGGUGGGGGUUGGAAAGUUUCGGCGGUUGGGGAUGGACUCGCGGCUUAUCAGCUUGUUGGUGGGGUAGUGGCUGACCAAGGCUUUGACGGGUAGCCGGCCUGAGAGGGUGACCGGCCACAUUGGGACUGAGAUACGGCCCAGACUCCUACGGGAGGCAGCAGUGGGGAAUAUUGCACAAUGGGCGGAAGCCGGAUGCAGCAACGCCGCGUGUGGGAUGACGGCCUUCGGGUUGUAAACCGCUUUCGCCUGUGACGAAGCGUGAGUGACGGUAAUGGGUAAAGAAGCACCGGCUAACUACGUG
rnacentral:rRNA from 1 species